rnacentral:rRNA from 1 species
UACGUAGGUGGCAAGCGUUGUCCGGAAUUAUUGGGCGUAAAGCGCGCGCAGGCGGUCCUUUAGGUCUGAUGUGAAAGCCCACGGCUCAACCGUGGAAGGUCAUUGGAAACUGGGGGACUUGAGUACAGAAGAGGAAAGCGGAAUUCCACGUGUAGCGGUGAAAUGCGUAGAUAUCUGGAGGAAUACCGGUGGCGAAGGCGGCAUCCUGGACCGACAUUGACGCUGAGGAGCGAAAGCUAGGGGAGCAAACGGG